rnacentral:rRNA from 1 species
GAUGAACGCUAGCUACAGGCUUAACACAUGCAAGUCGAGGGACAGCACAGUGUAGCAAUACAUGGGUGGCGACCGGCGCACGGGUGCGUAACGCGUAUCCAACCUUCCCGUUACUCAGGGAUAGCCUUCCGAAAGGGAGAUUAAUACCUGAUGGUGUUCAAAUUCCGCAUGUUAUUUGAAUUAAAGAUUUAUCGGUAACGGAUGGGGAUGCGUGACAUUAGGUAGAUGGCGGGGUAACGGCCCACCAUGCCCACGAUGUCUAGGGGUUCUGAGAGGAAGGUCCCCCACACUGGAACUGAGACACGGUCCAGACUCCUACGGGAGGCAGCAGUGAGGAAUAUUGGUCAAUGGUCGAGAGACUGAACCAGCCAAGUCGCGUGAGGGAAGACGGGCCCUAUGGGGUCUUAAACUUCUUUUUGUAAGGGAGCAAUAAGUUCUACGUGUAGGAUGAUGAGAGUACCUACGAAUAAGCAUCGGCUAACUCCGUGCCAGCAGCC